rnacentral:sRNA from 1 species
UUUUCAGGAAAUGAGAAUUCCUUCGGCAAAAGGAGAAGCUGAUUUGCAGAAGUGCUGAGCAUGCCUGAGAGAGAUGGGAGUGAUCAAGACCAGGAGUGCCAUUUGGAUGUGCAGAGUUGAGGUGACAUCUGCCUGGAGAGAUUCAGGAGGCAGCCGAACUACACUCACCAGGGAGAUACCAGGGUUCGUCAUGGGCAGCAAUGACUACGAUGGACAAGAAGAUAGAGGCCCUAAUCCUAAUUUUCUGAGCACCAUGGAAGCCCCCUGGAUUCUAGGGAGACCUUGAGGAGAAAGCAGACUCCCGUAAAUGCCUGACAUUGAAAUUCCUGCAAGUCUAGGAGCAUGUGAACUCAAAAUGGAAAUUAAUUUG